GCGUGGGCCCGUCAGUGCCGCGGGUACACAGGGGAGUUUGCCCACGGGUGCCUCGAAGGAGAAAAAAAAGAGGAGAGCAAAAGGACCCUUCCUAAGAGGAUCAAUCAACUAUUGAUAUGAACAAGGUGGAUCUGGAGAAUCAUAUCACACAAGUGACUAGAGACACAAUGCAGUCAACUGCUAUCAGCCAUCUGCCAUGGACUUCUGGCCUACAUACAGGAGGAACCAUGCUGGAAAGGGAUUCAGACAAGGCUAAAAAAUCCUGCAUUGCCUGGAGGAGGAGCUGAGUCAGAUGUUGAAGGGUGACAGGACUGACACUAGGGCUCAGCAUUGGAACUAAAAGAAAAAGGGAAUGCUACAGUACUGCUUCAGUUAAUUUCCUGACAAAAACGGUUGUAAAAAUUUAUGAAGCUGUUACCUCUGAAGAGGAAGGGAUGGGGAUAACAAUGAAAGUAUCAUGUAAUUUGAAAAUAUAUUAGCUUGUGCCUCUUCUCUAUCCUCAGUUUCUAACUUCAGAGGCAUUCCAAAGAGGCUUUUGGAUAUAGACAGACUCCCCAUGAAUUCUUCUGCUUGUUUCCCGCCUCUGACUUUCUCUGAGAUCCUGUCUUGUAAUCUGCUAUCCUCCUACAGUUCCUUAUGGCACUGUCUAUCCAAAAAUACAUGUGUUCUAUAAAGAAACCGCAUAUUUGAUUGGAACAAGCAUCCUGGGUCUUUCUAAAUUGUACCUUCAACAUAUUAAUUUCCUUCCAGGACAGUUCUUUUCCAAUGUAAUGGUCCAGGUUAAACGAGUCAUUUGGACAGCUACUUUAAUCCAAACUGUGCCAGAUUAUAGAGUUCAGGUAAAACUAAAUCUAUAGGUAAUCUGUGAUCAUUUUUUUUUUUACCCUGUUUAUGAAUUGUUACACAUGGAUGCUUGUUUUCUUAAAAUACCCAAUGAAAUGAUAAGAAAAUUACUUCACAGAUAUACGAAGGUGUGAUUUGGAGCCAAUCUAACAUACAGAGGUAUCAAAUUCUUUCCCUGCUUACGCAAUUUUAGCAGUACUCAGGGCUGCAUAGCAUAUCCAAAGUCACAGUCAGGUUGUUUCUGCAUAACUUGCACCAGACUGCAUUUGCUAUUGCCAAUGUUUUAUAAUGUGAAACGGUUUUGACCAAAGAAAUUUAAUGUGGAGUUAUAGAAGAGUUUUAUGCUUUUUCAUUUCCUCCAGUUUCAGACACUGUUCUCCUUUUCCUUUGGCGUUAUGCAUGCAGACAGACAUGCUAAUACCUUUAUUACAUAACUGUACAGAAAUGCUCCUGAUUCAUUGGAAAGAAGCAUCUCGUUCACAUACCUUAUGCAAAGAUAUAAACUGCUACACAAGUGAGGACAUGCAACAUCAGGCUUGAAAAGGCUAUUCAGGUGAAGUCUUCAUGGCCCUUCUCUGCACCAGGUAGUGAAACCCUCCCUUUGGCUUGCUUUUCUCUCUUUCUGGGACUGACAAAACACCGCUUUUUGAUCACUAAUGGGGAAGAACUGUGCAAAGAGAAACAACACCCCCCUCACUUGAGGCUGGGUUGUACCCUACUGAACAUACUCUUACGGCAGCAGAUACAGUGCUGGGUGGACUGUUUUUAAAGACCUAACCUGAAUCACAUGCAUUGCAUGAAUAAACUUAUGGGUUAGCUUAAACUCUUGUAAACCUUUAUCAUCUCCCUCACCUUUGCCACAAUCUGAAUGCAGCUGUAGAAAAGCAAAUUGCUCAGCAAGCAAUAGGAUGAAUGAAUUAUGGUUAAUGCUUGAUUUUGAUGUUUAAAAAUAUAUGUAUUCUUCCAUCUGGAGUCUUCACACAGCUGGGGCACAUAAAAGUUUGUCUCAACUGCAAAUCUGUAAUCAAAUCAUAGGUUUUUUUCCUCAGCUGGGUUUUCCAUCCUCUCAACAACCCAAUCACAAAGUUUUUGAGAAACUAGUGAUUGAAAGACCUCUGCUGACUGAUAAAUUUGUGCAAACCUUACUGGGGCUGAGGGGGAAGGCAGACAGUAUGAUUAUAUUUUGAUAAAAGACUAGACAGUGAUAAUUGCAGAAGCUUUUUCUUUAGUUGAUGCCUACAUACAGGAGGAACCAAAGAAGCUGAAACCAAAUUGUAUUUGCAGAUUUUCAGACACUGAAAGACUGUAAUAUAGUGGUUCAUUAUUUCUGAGUUCUCUAAGUUCAUUAUUCUAAGGAAGUUUCUAUAUGCAGCAGAAGAUAUACUGAUACUCUCUAACUUGAAUUAAGUAAACAUAACAUUAAAUUUUAGUCAAUUUUACAAUACAUUUCCUGAAAGAAGCAAGAAAGUACACUGAAAAAUGGAGAAUAGACAUAACAGGUAAGAUGCUGACAGCUGCAUUUCCCUAUUCCUUCAAUAUUCCCCCUCCCCCUGUCCAACUCUAGUACUUUUCUGGUAACCCUUCUCACGUCAGGGCAGCUUAGGAGUGUUUUGGCAGGGAACAGUCUGCUUAUUCUCCCUGGAGACUGCACAGAGAUCAUAAAUCCUGUUGGAGUUCUUAACCCUUACAUGUAGCUGACAGCUUAAAUCGCCUGCAUUACUAAAUUCAAGCAAGAAGACAUGCCAGCAUGCAAAGAAAUAUGCUCAAAUUAUUGGGUAGCCAGUUCCACACUUUCUCAUUUUUUUAUUCAAUGGAUUUUUCAAGGAGAAUCUGAAAGUGCUUUGCUUGAGAAACACCAGUAUCAUAAUUUAAUACUUAUGAUAAAAAUAGGUCACUGUACUUUCUUUUGUUAAGUAAUUCCUUGUUUUAAUCAUAUCAAGGCCUUCCACCACCUUUUCCUUAAAACUGCAAUUUCUGUCAUACUCUAUCUUUUCCUCUUGACAUAACUGGCACCUCUUUUAUGCCUUCUACUGUUAGAGUAAGAAGGAAUCAGGUUCCAAUACUAAUUAUCAUGGCAAGAUGAUAUAUGAAUGCUGAUUAUCUUUUGUAGAAAAAAGGAAAUCAUGACCUGUUAAGCCAAUCAAGUCAACUAUUUAAAUGCUAGAAAAUUCUGUGAAGAUCUUUUUCCAUCUGGCUAAAUAAAA